CCCCUCUCAGGGUCGCACCUGGAGAGUUUCCAGUACUUUACCAGUCUCGACUCCUCGAGGGAGAGUCUAGCAGAGGCCUACCCGUUCCAUUCCUAGCUUGGGCAGUGGCUAGCGAGUGGAAGGCAAUCCGCUACAAGU